CGAAUAAUAAAUAAUUCCAUGAAGACGAGGCCUAAGGAACCUGUGAAUGUGAGAUUAUUUGAAAAAGUUGUCUCUGUCAAGGCAAGUGUUAAGGAUGUGAGGGCCUCCUGGUUUAGGGUGGGUUUUGACCCCAAUAACAAGUGUUUGUGUAUGACAAGAAACUAGAAUAAGACCCAGAGGAGAGGGUUUCACAAUUUAUAGUUGCUUCCAUCAGGCUGAAAAAUCUCCUCAUGGGAGGAGAGGGAAGGGUAACGGCUCAUGAAACUUAAAAGGAACUUACAAGAUGUAUGGGUCCCCUCAGGAAGUUACGUAAGCAGUAGGCAAGUGCUGGAAAAGAGUCUUCAGUGGUAUCGCUGCCUGCAGGUUGUCCAGGGCACUCUCACGAUGCAGGUACCCAAGUCACCUGUGUUCCUGUAACACCUGAGAGAUUCACUGCCUCACCAGGCUGGACUUAGAUGAAAUCAUCCCUUGGGUCUAGGUGAGCUCUCAACGUGAGGUGAAUACAUAUUUGUUCGUGUUGCCUCAGGAAAUGUGAAUUACUGCUCCGGGGUAUACCAGCUGGCCAGAGUCAAGGAAGGAUCUCUCCUAUGGCCUUUGCUGGGAGUGCUGCGCUGCUGAAACCUUGACUUUGGACUCAAAGCUUCCAGCACUGAGUAUCUGCUGUGAUCACUUAACAGAUACACACCACGGCCUUCAUUAUUGGCGAGGAAGGCUGGGAUAGGGCAGCUUUAUCUGGGAAUACUGCAGCAGCCAAGAACACAGGCAUCCCAUUGAUAAGGAAGAUGGAGGGCAGUGGAGUUUGCAUAGGGGAUUUUUAUCAAGACCCUUUCAGCUCCUGUGAAAUGGAAAGUGAACACGCAAAGGCCCCUUGAGAACACAGGAAAGCAGCCGUCUAAAGCCGGGAAGAGAAGCUUCUUCAGAAACAAAUCCUGAUAGCUCCUGGACCAUGGAUUUUUAGAUCCCAGAACUAUGAAAAAACUAAGCAUCUAUUUGGUUUUUUUUUCAACUACCUUUGGUCUGUAAUACUUGUUUUGUCAUCUGGAACUAACUACUAUACCUCCCUACCCCUAGAGAAAAACAAACGGAAAAGAGCCAAUAUAAGAAUGAUUUCUUCUGCCGUGGCAGGAAAGGAACGGUGGUGGGAGUGGUUCUAUCCAGACUGGUGGAAGGAUCUAGACUCUCCACAUCACAGUGGACCGGAAACAGAAUACGAAGCAAAGGUGGGAGUAGACCCCAGAUACCUGCUCCCAGUGAACUUCUGCCACCCAAGCCACUUCCUAAAGAUCCACAGCCUUCAAAAUAGAUUCCAAAAGCGGGGGACUGAGCAUUCAAAACACAGUCAGGCUGCCACAGCAUUUUAUGCAUGAGGAGGGCAUUGCGGGAAAGUUUAGGGCAGGGGAGUGACAUAGGUUGAUUUAUACAUGUAAAAGACAAGUCACUCCCAUGUACUGUGAGACACAGAGACAGGAACAGGGGAGUGUGGGAGCAGGGAGAGCUGUCACAAAAUUACUUCAGUAGAGUAGACCAGAAGUAAAACUUGGAAUAGCCAGAUAGACGUGGGGGUGGUGAUAUACUU